UCUAGUAACAUUUUUUUCAAUCAUUUUUUAUUUUUACUUUUUACGAUAAAACUAUUGUUAUAAAAAUAUGAAAGAUUUGUGAAACGACUUUUAUUGUAGUUACUCAUUUAAACGAAGAGUUCUAGUUUUAUUUUAUUUUUUAUAGAAAGAUUAAAAGUCUUCUUUCGAAUAGGUCUAUUCAUAAGAUAGCAAUAACAGAUGAUGGUACUUGUAGUUUGUAUUCUGAAAGAUUUAUUCUUCUUUCACUGAAAAUUUUCUUGCAAAAAGAAAAUAUUCCAUUAAAGUGCAGUUUUACUCGAUGUCAGACAUUGUAGCUAAAUUGAAAUAAAGACGUAUAAAGGUCCUUAUUUCAUUUUAGCUCAUCAUAUAUUAAGAAUUUAAUAUGUGAAAGCUGAUAUUGCAAAUUUGCAUUUAUACGAAAUAAAUUGCUAGAAAAAAGUUUAUUCGGAUGCGUGAACCCAUUAUGAAAUCGAAUCGCAAUUGUAGAUUGAAAAUUUUGAAAUAUUUGAUUUAAAUUGCACUGUAAUAAGAAAAGUCAACUUUUUCAUUCUGAAAAAAUAAUUCUGAAACUUAUUUCUAUAUCUAUAAAAUAUUAAAAUGUAUAGAAAUUAAAUUUUCGAUCGUAACUUUAUUUUGAAAAUCGAAAUUUUACUAUGACUCGAUAGUACUGUAUAUACAUUUGUUAAAUGUAUCAUACAAAAAUUGACUGUAAAUACGAAAUUUAUAUUCAGUUCAGAUUUUUGAGAUAAAUUCCGCAUUCAGAACAGAACUUUAUAAAGCUUCCUUUAUGUAGGUAGUAAGUGUUUUCAAAGAUAAGAUUUCGAUUCGAAGAUUACACACACAGGUUCAAUUAUUACUACCAGAAAAAAGAAGAAAGUUUUAAGUUAAAAAUUUUGACUUUUAUAUAAAUAAAAUUAAGAACUUUUCGAUUAAAUGUUACAGAAUAAGUUUACGAUAUAAACCAUUACGCGAUAAACAAUCUAAUAUUAAUAUGAUCAGAUCACAUAGUCUAAUUAAAUCUCCACUUCUGUAGAUAUACGAUUAAACUUAAUAAAAUGAAGGAAGGAGAGAUCUUCAUAAUGAAGAAAGUAUAUUGAAAAUCCUAUUUGUCUUUAAUGCUAAACUGAUAGUUAAAUGAACUGUUUAACUGUUCUAGUCCGUCACGAAUCUCCGAUUAUUCAGGCAGAUGGUAAUGUUUAAACAAAGUUUGUAAUUGGUCGAGAUAAAGUAUAAUAAAAUUAGAUGUUUUACGUAUAAAAAUAAAUUGAUAAGAGAGAAAUAAAAAUAUUUUGAAUUUAAUUAAACGAGUAAAUAUUGUAAUCAUAUUUUAAACAGAGCACAUAAAAUAUUA